rnacentral:tRNA from 1 species
GGUAAAAUGGCCGAGUAAGGCGAUAAAUUGUAAAUUUAUUUAUGAAGUGAUUUCUUUUACCA